UGAUUCGUGAAGGAUGCCUGUGCAUACAUUGCACGCACAUUUCUUGGUCUCAAUUUGAAUAACAACAGUUUGAGCAAAGUGGUCGAUACACACGAUCUUAUCUCAGCUUUGUGGUUACUGCGGUAUGUGCAUUAGCAUCUUUUUAAUUGGUGGUUCUUUUUUUCUUUGUUUUCGUUUUAUGCACGAUCUACCAUGCGUUAGGUCACAAGAGACUCUAACAAGCUUCAACACCCUUUAUUACGCACGUUUUGUACCUUGCACGUUUUUUUAGUUCAGUUUGCAUCCAAGUUCAAGUUUUGCCGUUUCUUGUCUAUGAAAAACGCCGAUAAGAACCGACUCUUGUGGAAACGACAUUUCCUUUUCAAACUUGACCAAGAUUGAGUCUAUCGUCGGUGAACUGUUCAAGAAUAAAGUGAAACUCGUGUCCGCGAAUUCUUGUGUGUGCGGAUCUUAUCUCAGCUUGGGUACUUUUCUGAACAUGUUACGACAUUGUACAUCAUAAGGAGAGAGAACAGUGUACUCCCUUAUUUCACAUCGUUUUCCGUGAAUUUCUUAAAAGACGGCUGGAGAGCAAAGGAAAAAAAGUAGUUAAUUGUACGCACACACUUCUGCCAAGAAAAACUUCUUGGAAAGGAACAGAAAAAUGAAAAUUAUAAACAGUGACUGCAAAUUAUAGCCAGCUGAGUUCCCCAUGGUGUGAUAUUUUCCACAAAGAACGAUCGACUAAAACGGCUUUGGAAUAACUCGCAAGAUCUUGAAAUCACACCCCACGAGAAAUUCUGGAUUAUGUUAAAAGAGCUCUUUUCUCCAUGGGUAAACCAACUGAUACUAUGGUGGUAUGAAAUCAAAGGGAUUGCUGCUAAGCUGAUGGUUGUGUCAAUUCUGCAAAGUGGACCUUCACUGUCAUUUCUUCACCCUGCUGUUUUCCAAUAUUUGUGUCAAGGAAAGCUAUCAUCAGUUAAUCAUGAAAGCACUUUAAAAGGAGCAGCAGUGAAGGUAAAUAAAUAAAUGCUCAAGUGAUUUGCCAUUGUUUUUAGAGGGGGGGGUACCAAAUAUUUAUCAGCCAUGAUUCAUUUCAUAAAUUCUUUGGAUACUUUCCAAAAUAAAAUGCAAGAAAAAGUCAUUAUUCAUUGCUAAUUAUUGCUAAUUAAAGAGUAGGGUUAUUCAAGUAACAGGAAACAUUUUGUUUCUGACUAGCUAUUUCUUUUUAAGAACGUUACUGAUACAGGAUUUCUGAUAUUUUAAGCAGUUGUAGAGCCAUGAGUUUCAAGUAAAUCCUGUGAAAUUCAACAAAACCUGCAAAAUACCACAAAUUAAGCAAUAAAUCUUGCCAAAUACAUGUUGCUAUAACGUAUUUGAAACUGACAAUAUAUUUGAACUUACCUGGGCUGGUGGAGCUAUUUACUUGCCAUAAAAUUGCUAAUUUUUCUUAAAAACAUCACAAAUCUGCUGGUUGUUUUGUGAUUAAUGUUGCAAAAAAGCAGACAGUGGUCACACUGUUCAAAGCUUUGUCACUGGUGCAUUUCUCAAGCACUUUGUUGUUAAAUGAGCAAAUGAAUGUAUCUGUUAAAAAGAACCUUUUGGUUAAAUAAAUAGCAAACUGUCUUCUAUAUUUCUUUCUUAGCGAGUCCAAAUGAGUUGUACAACUUGUUUUUGUUUCUAAGGGAAACAUGAAUAAAAUGUACCAUAUUCUCUUUCUGUGGUAGGUUUUUUGGUGUCUUUUUGUUGAUUGCUGCAUACUGUGGCUUGCAAACUCUGCAAAUUAUGGAAGUGGAGUUUUGAUGGUGCAUGAUGUAAUCAAAUGACAGUGAGCCUAUGGUGUAGUGCAAAUGACUUUUGGUUGGGUACAUGUCAGCCUCUCUCUGAUUUAGGCUUUCUAACAAGGUGCAGAGUGUAAUAUUAUUCAAAGAAGAAAGACUCAACAAUCUUUUUUUAUUAGGUGUAUGCUCAAAUCUUCAGGACUUACACUUAGGCUUCUGUGAAUGUACGUUUCCCCUGCAGAGGACUUUGUGAGAAGUGUGAGCAUACAAUGUGGACAAUUUAACCACAGUUGCAGCUUAAAACUUUGCUGAGGUGAAGGGUCAUCUGGAUUAUUGAAAAUGCCUGCAUUUUCUGAUACCCCAGGUUUAAUGUCAUGGCAAAUAGUUGCAACUUCAGCAUUCUCAAAUUCACAUAUUCAAUAUCCUCUUGAUUUCCUCGUUCCUAACUGAUCCUCUCAAGUGGUGCUCCUGAUCCCAACAUUUAGAAUUAAUUUUUUAAUUCUCUUAUAUGCUGGUGUUCU